rnacentral:rRNA from 1 species
ACCUCCAGCAUCCCCAGUAUUGGAGGCACUGCCUGCCCAGUGACACACGUUAAACGGCCGCGGUAUCUUGACCGUGCAAAGGUAGCAUAAUCAUUUGUUCUCUAAAUAAGGACUUGUAUGAAUGGCCACACGAGGGUUUUACUGUCUCUUACUUCCAAUCAGUGAAAUUGACCUCCCCGUGAAGAGGCGGGGAUAAAUAAAUAAGACGAGAAGACCCUAUGGAGCUUUAACUAAUUAGCCCAAAGGAAAUAAACUUAACCACUAAGGGAUAACUAACAUCCUUUAUGAGCUAACAGUUUCGGUUGGGGUGACCUCGGAGAACAAAAAAUCCUCCGAGCGAUUUUAAAGACUAGACCCACAAGUCAAAUCAAAAUAUCGCUCAUUGAUCCAAAAGCUUGAUCAACGGAACAAGUUACCCUAGGGAUAACAGCGCAAUCCUAUCCAAGAGUCCAUAUCGACGAUAGGGUUUACGACCUCGAUGUUGGAUCAGGACACCCCGAUGGUGCAACCGCUAUCAAA